CGGUGUGCUAAUACAUGCAAGUCGAACGCGUUGGCCCAAUUGAUUGAUGGUGCUUGCACCUGAUUGAUUUUGGUCGCCAACGAGUGGCGGACGGGUGAGUAACACGUAGGUAACCUGCCCAGAAGCGGGGGACAACAUUUGGAAACAGAUGCUAAUACCGCAUAACAACGUUGUUCGCAUGAACAACGCUUAAAAGAUGGCUUCUCGCUAUCACUUCUGGAUGGACCUGCGGUGCAUUAGCUUGUUGGUGGGGUAAUGGCCUACCAAGGCGAUGAUGCAUAGCCGAGUUGAGAGACUGAUCGGCCACAAUGGGACUGAGACACGGCCCAUACUCCUACGGGAGGCAGCAGUAGGGAAUCUUCCACAAUGGGCGCAAGCCUGAUGGAGCAACACCGCGUGAGUGAAGAAGGGUUUCGGCUCGUAAAGCUCUGUUGUUAAAGAAGAACACGUAUGAGAGUAACUGUUCAUACGUUGACGGUAUUUAACCAGAAAGUCACGGCUAACUACGUGCCAGCAGCCGCGGUAAUACGUAGGUGGCAAGCGUUAUCCGGAUUUAUUGGGCGUAAAGAGAGUGCAGGCGGUUUUCUAAGUCUGAUGUGAAAGCCUUCGGCUUAACCGGAGAAGUGCAUCGGAAACUGGAUAACUUGAGUGCAGAAGAGGGUAGUGGAACUCCAUGUGUAGCGGUGGAAUGCGUAGAUAUAUGGAAGAACACCAGUGGCGAAGGCGGCUACCUGGUCUGCAACUGACGCUGAGACUCGAAAGCAUGGGUAGCGAACAGGAUUAGAUACCCUGGUAGUCCAUGCCGUAACGAUGAGUGCUAGGUGUUGGAGGGUUUCCGCUCUUCAGUGCCGAGCUAACGCAUUAAGCACUCCGCCUGG
rnacentral:rRNA from 2 species